AGAGUUUGAUCAUGGCUCAGAUUGAACGCUGGCGGCAUGCUUUACACAUGCAAGUCGAGCGGCAGCGCGGGGGCAACCCUGGCGCGAGCGGCGAACGGGUGAGUAAUGCAUCGGAACGUGUCCCGUAGUGGGGGAUAACGCCGGGAAACCGGCGCUAAUACCGCAUAUGCUCUACGGAGGAAAGUGGGGGACUUCGCAAGAGCCUCACGCUAUGGGAGCGGCCGAUGUCCGAUUAGCUAGUUGGUGAGGUAAAGGCUUACCAAGGCGACGAUCGGUAGCUGGUCUGAGAGGAUGAUCAGCCACACUGGGACUGAGACACGGCCCAGACUCCUACGGGAGGCAGCAGUGGGGAAUUUUGGACAAUGGGGGCAACCCUGAUCCAGCCAUGCCGCGUGAGUGAAGAAGGCCUUCGGGUUGUAAAGCUCUUUUGUCCGGGAAGAAAAGGCUCACUCUAAUACGGUGGGUUCUUGACGGUACUGGAAGAAUAAGCACCGGCUAACUACGUGCCAGCAGCCGCGGUAAUACGUAGGGUGCGAGCGUUAAUCGGAAUUACUGGGCGUAAAGCGUGCGCAGGCGGUUCGUUAAGUCAGAUGUGAAAGCCCCGGGCUUAACCUGGGAAUGGCAUUUGAGACUGGCGAGCUGGAGUCUGGCAGAGGGGGGUGGAAUUCCACGUGUAGCAGUGAAAUGCGUAGAGAUGUGGAGGAACACCGAUGGCGAAGGCAGCCCCCUGGGCUGAGACUGACGCUCAGGCACGAAAGCGUGGGGAGCAAACAGGAUUAGAUACCCUAGUAGUCC
rnacentral:rRNA from 1 species